AGUGAACGCUGGCGGUAGGCCUAACACAUGCAAGUCGAACGGCAGCACAGUAAGAGCUUGCUCUUACGGGUGGCGAGUGGCGGACGGGUGAGGAAUACAUCGGAAUCUACUUUUUCGUGGGGGCUAACGUAGGGAAACUUACGCUAAUACCGCAUACGACCUACGGGUGAAAGCAGGGGAUCUUCGGACCUUGCGCGAUUGCAUGAGCCGAUGUCGGAUUAGCUAGUUGGCGGGGUAAAGGCCCACCAAGGCGACGAUCCGUAGCUGGUCUGAGAGGAUGAUCAGCCACACUGGAACUGAGACACGGUCCAGACUCCUACGGGAGGCAGCAGUGGGGAAUAUUGGACAAUGGGCGCAAGCCUGAUCCAGCCAUACCGCGUGGGUGAAGAAGGCCUUCGGGUUGUAAAGCCCUUUUGUUGGGAAAGAAAAGCAGCAGGUUAAUACCCCGCUGUUCUGACGGUACCCAAAGAAUAAGCACCGGCUAACUUCGUG
rnacentral:rRNA from 1 species